AAUAAACGCUGGCGGCGUGCCUAACACAUGCAAGUCGAGCGAGAAAGCUCCUUCGGGAGUUAGUAAAGCGGCGAACGGGUGAGCAACACGUGAGAAUCUACCCUUUAGUGAAGAAUACCCUCGAGAAAUCGAGGCUAAUACUGCAUACGUCCCUUCGGGGAGAAAGAUGGCCUCUUUGCUAUCGCUAAAGGAUGAGCUUGCGUACUAUUAGCUAGUUGGCGGGGUAAAGGCCCACCAAGGCAAUGAAUGGUUAACCGGCCUGAGAGGGUGUACGGUCACACUGGAACUUAGACACGGUCCAGACUCCUACGGGAGGCAGCAGUGAGGAAUCUUGCGCAAUGGGCGAAAGCCUGACGCAGCGACGCCGCGUGGAGGAUGAC
rnacentral:rRNA from 1 species